GCUCGCAUAGUCCAGUGGUCAAGACGCCUUGAAAUCAUUUACGGCUCGUAGCUUCCUUAUUUCAUGGAGACGGGAGUUCGAUUCUUCCUGUGAGUA